GACGAACGCUGGCGGCGUGCUUAACACAUGCAAGUCGAACGGAAAGGCCCUGCUUUUGUGGGGUGCUCGAGUGGCGAACGGGUGAGUAACACGUGAGUAACCUGCCCUUGACUUUGGGAUAACUUCAGGAAACUGGGGCUAAUACCGGAUAGGAGCUCCUGCUGCAUGGUGGGGGUUGGAAAGUUUCGGCGGUUGGGGAUGGACUCGCGGCUUAUCAGCUUGUUGGUGGGGUAGUGGCUUACCAAGGCUUUGACGGGUAGCCGGCCUGAGAGGGUGACAGGCCACACUGGGACUGAGAUACGGCCCAGACUCCUACGGGAGGCAGCAGUGGGGAAUAUUGCACAAUGGGCGGAAGCCUGAUGCAGCAACGCCGCGUGCGGGAUGACGGACUUCGGGUUGUAAACCGAUUUCGCCUGUGACGAAGCGUGAGUGACGGUAAUGGGUAAAGAAGCACCGGCUAACUACGUG
rnacentral:rRNA from 1 species